AGUAUCGUAUGAAUAAGGAUCGGCUAACUCCGUGCCAGCAGCCGCGGUAAUACGGAGGAUCCAAGCGUUAUCCGGAUUUAUUGGGUUUAAAGGGUGCGUAGGCGGUUUGAUAAGUUAGAGGUGAAAUACCGGGGCUUAACUCCGGAACUGCCUCUAAUACUGUUGGACUAGAGAGUAGUUGCGGUAGGCGGAAUGUAUGGUGUAGCGGUGAGAUGCUUAGAGAUCAUACAGAACACCGAUUGCGAAGGCAGCUUACCAAACUAUAUCUGACGUUGAGGCACGAAAGCGUGGGGAGCAAACAGGAUUAGAUACCCUGGUAGUCCACGCAGUAAACGAUGAUAACUCGCUGUCGGCGAUACACAGUCGGUGGCUAAGCGAAAGCGAUAAGUUAUCCACCUGGGGA
rnacentral:rRNA from 1 species